UGGAUGAGUAGAAGCAGUUAAGUGUGAAAUGCACUGAAACAUUGCUCAUAUC
rnacentral:ncRNA from 1 species